rnacentral:snRNA from 1 species
GUUCUCGCUUUAGCAGCACGUAUACUAAAUUUGGAAUGAUACAGAGAAGAUUAGCAUGGCCCCUGCACAAGAAUGACAUGCAAAUUUGUGGAGCGUUCCAUUAAAAA